rnacentral:rRNA from 1 species
GACGAACGCUGGCGGCGCGCUUAACACAUGCAAGUCGAACGGAAAGGCCUGCUUUCCCUUGUGGAUUGCGGGUACUCGAGUGGCGAACGGGUGAGUAACACGUGAGUGAUCUGCCCCCAACUUGGGUAUAAGCCUGGGAAACUGGGUCUAAUUCCCGAUAGGACUGCAGGGUGUGCCUGGGGUGGAAAAAGAUUUUCUAGUGGGUGGGGAUGAGCUCGCGGCCUAUCAGCUUGUUGGUGGGGUAAUGGCCUACCAAGGCGGCGACGGGUAGCCGGCCUGAGAGGGUGGACGGCCACAUUGGGACUGAGAUACGGCCCAGACUCCUACGGGAGGCAGCAGUGGGGAAUAUUGCACAAUGGGCGGAAGCCUGAUGCAGCGACGCCGCGUGGGGGAUGACGGCCUUCGGGUUGUAAACUCCUUUCGACCGCGAGGAAGCCACCUGGUUGGAAGGGUGGUGACGGUAGUGGUAGAAGAAGCACCGGCUAACUACGUG